GACGAACGCUGGCGGCGUGGAUUAGGCAUGCAAGUCGAACGGUAUCAUCCUUUCGGGGGUGAGAGAGUGGCGAACUGGUGAGUAACACGUAGGUUAUCUACCCUCAAGACGGGGACAACCCAGGGAAACUUGGGCUAAUACCGGAUGUGAGCAACUUUUAGUUGUUUGAAAGGUGGCGUAAGCUGUCGCUUGGGGAUGAGCCUGCGUCCUAUUAGUUAGUUGGUGAGGUAACGGCUCACCUAGGCAAUGAUAGGUAGGCGGCCUUAACGGGUGGUCGCCCACACUGGGAUUGAGAUACGGCCCAGACUCCUACGGGAGGCAGCAGUCGAGAAUAGUCUACAAUGGUCGGAAGACUGAUAGUGCGACGCCGCGUGAACGAUGAAUCCCUUCGGGGUUAAAGUUCUUUUAUAUGUGAGCAGUGCUUCUUAUAUUAACAGUAUGGGGAGAGAGAUAUUAGCAUAUGAAUAAGCAACGGCUAAACUCCGUGCCAGCAGCCGCGGUAAUA
rnacentral:rRNA from 1 species